UACGGAGGGUGCAAGCGUUAUCCGGAUUCACUGGGUUUAAAGGGUGUGUAGGUGGCGCCGUAAGUCGGGUGUGAAAUUUCGGAGCUUAACUCCGAAACUGCAUUCGAUACUGCGGUGCUUGAGGACUGGAGAGGAGACUGGAAUUCAUGGUGUAGCAGUGAAAUGCGUAGAGAUCAUGAGGAAGACCAGUGGCGAAGGCGGGUCUCUGGACAGUUCCUGACACUGAGACACGAAGGCCAGGGGAGCAAACGGG
rnacentral:rRNA from 1 species